rnacentral:rRNA from 1 species
UGUCCAGACUCCUACGGGAGGCAGCAGUGAGGAAUAUUGGUCAAUGGGCGGGAGCCUGAACCAGCCAAGUCGCGUGAAGGAAGAAGGUACUUAGUAUUGUAAACUUCUUUUGUCGGGGAACAAAGGCGGAGACGCGUCUCCGGAUGAGUGUACCCGAAGAAAAAGCAUCGGCUAACUCCGUGCCAGCAGCCGCGGUAAUACGGAGGAUCCGAGCGUUAUCCGGAUUUAUUGGGUUUAAAGGGAGCGUAGGUGGAUUGUUAAGUCAGUUGUGAAAGUUUGCGGCUCAACCGUAAAAUUGCAGUUGAAACUGGCAGUCUUGAGUACAGUAGAGGUGGGCGGAAUUCGUGGUGUAGCGGUGAAAUGCUUAGAUAUCACGAAGAACUCCGAUUGCGAAGGCAGCUCACUGGACUGCAACUGACACUGAUGCUCGAAAGUGUGGGUAUCAAACAGGAUUAGAUACCCCUGUAAU